rnacentral:rRNA from 1 species
AUUGAACGCUGGCGGCAGGCUUAACACAUGCAAGUCGAGCGGGGGAAGGUAGCUUGCUACCGGACCUAGCGGCGGACGGGUGAGUAAUGCUUAGGAAUCUGCCUAUUAGUGGGGGACAACAUCUCGAAAGGGAUGCUAAUACCGCAUACGUCCUACGGGAGAAAGCAGGGGAUCUUCGGACCUUGCGCUAAUAGACGAGCCAAAGUCGGAUUAGCUAGUUGGUGGGGUAAAGGCCUACCAAGGCGACGAUCUGUAGCGGGUCUGAGAGGAUGAUCCGCCACACUGGGACUGAGACACGGCCAGACUCCUACGGGAGGCAGCAGUGGGGAAUAUUGGACAAUGGGCGGAAGCCUGAUCCAGCCAUGCCGCGUGUGUGAAGAAGGCCUUAUGGUUGUAAAGCACUUUAAGCGAGGAGGAGGCUACUUUAGUUAAUACCUAGAGAUAGUGGACGUUACUCGCAGAAUAAGCACCGGCUAACUCUGUGCCAGCCGCCGCAGUAA